UACAGAGGCCCCAAGCGUUAUCCGGAAUCACUGGGCGUAAAGGGUGUGUAGGUGGUGUGUUUAGUCUUUUGUUAAAGCUCGGGGCUCAACCCCGAAAAAGCAAAAGAAACGGGCACACUUGAGAGUGCGAGAGGUUUAUAGAACUCAUGGAGUAGGGGUGAAAUCCGUUGAUAUCAUGGGGAAUACCAAAAGCGAAGGCAAUAAACUGGCGCAUUUCUGACACUGAAACACGAAAGCGUGGGUAGCGAACGGG
rnacentral:misc_RNA from 1 species